CACGUAGGGUGCGAGCGUUUGUCCGGAAUUAUUGGGCGUAAAGAGCUCGUAGGCGGUGUGUCGCGUCGGCCGUGAAAACUUUCAGCUUAACUGGGAGCUUGCGGUCGAUACGGGCAUCACUGGAGUUCGGCAGGGGAGACUGGGAAUUCCUGGUGUAGCGGUGAAAUGCGCAGAUAUCAGGAGGAACACCGGUGGCGAAGGCGGGUCUCUGGGCCGAUGCUGACGCUGAGGAGCGAAAGCGUGGGGAGCGAACAGG
rnacentral:rRNA from 1 species